UGCGUAGGUGGCAGUGCAAGUCAGAUGUGAAAGGCCGGGGCUCAACCCCGGAGCUGCAUUUGAAACUGCGCGGCUAGAGUACAGGAGAGGCAGGCGGAAUUCCUAGUGUAGCGGUGAAAUGCGUAGAUAUUAGGAGGAACACCAGUGGCGAAGGCGGCCUGCUGGACUGUUACUGACACUGAGGCACGAAAGCGUGGGGAGCAAACA
rnacentral:rRNA from 1 species